UACGUAGGAUCCGAGCGUUGUCCGGAAUUACUGGGUGUAAAGGGCGUGUAGGUGGGUCUCUAAGUCGGGGGUGAAAUCCUGGAGCUUAACUCCAGAAUUGCUUUCGAAACUGGAGAUCUUGAGUACGGCAGAGGGAGAUGGAAUUCAUGGUGUAGCGGUGAAAUGUGUAGAUAUCAUGAAGAACACCGGUAGCGAAGGCGGUCUCCUGGUCCGUUACUGACACUGAGGCGCGAAAGCGUGGGGAGCAAACAGG
rnacentral:rRNA from 1 species